AUGGACCAUCUGCUGCACCACGGGCACGAGAUGAGGAGGCCGUCCGUGCCCGGCCACGAGGCGGCGCUGAGGUCCGUCCAGAAGCCGCCGGCCAAGCCGUGGCGCGCGGGCGGCGGCUUGACGCCGGCGCCGACGCCGCCCAAGGUGUACCGCGUGGAGCCCCGGGAGUUCCGCGACCUCGUGCAGAGGCUCACCGGCGCGCCCGCCGCGGCCAUAGCCAGGCAGCACCAGCACGGCCAGCAGCUGCAGCGCGCGCCGACGCAGCCCGUGCCCGUGCGCCCCGGCGGUGUCGAGGACGCCGCCAUGGCCGGGCAGAUGUACGCGCCGUGGUGCUCGUUCCCGCUCAUGGGCCCGCCGGCGUCCAUGCACCCCGGCCUCGACGGCCACCAUCUCAUAUAG
rnacentral:rRNA from 1 species